UACGUAGGGGGCAAGCGUUGUCCGGAUUUAUUGGGCGUAAAGCGCGUGUAGGCGGCCCGGUAAGUCCGCUGUGAAAGUCGGGGGCUCAACCCUCGAAUGCCGGUGGAUACUGUCGGGCUAGAGUGCGGAAGAGGCGAGUGGAAUUCCUGGUGUAGCGGUGAAAUGCGCAGAUAUCAGGAGGAACACCAAUUGCGAAGGCAGCUCGCUGGGACGUGACUGACGCUGAGACGCGAAAGCGUGGGGAGCAAACAGG
rnacentral:rRNA from 1 species